AAGUCGUAACAAGGUUUCCGUAGGUGAACCUGCGGAAGGAUCAUUAACGAAUAUCUAUGGCGUUGGUUGUAGCUGGCUUCUAGGAGCAUUUGUGCACACCCGUCAUUUAUAUCAUCUUUCCACCUGUGAACUAUGUGUAGGUCUGGAUACCUCUCGCUUUGGCAACAAGGCGGAUGCAAGGAUUGCUGUGUCGAAAGGCCGGCUCUCUUUGAAUUUCCAGGUCUACGUUUUUUACACACUCCAUUUGAAUGAUGUAGAAUGUAGUCAAUGGGCUUUCAAGCCUAUAAAAAACUAUACAACUUUCAGCAACGGAUCUCUUGGCUCUC
rnacentral:misc_RNA from 1 species